GUGCUUCUGUGGUUCAUAAGCGUGAUGGCUGGGCUCAUGCGCAUGUAUGAGAUGUGCCACCCUUGAAACUGGUUAUGACGUCGGCACAUUACCCAUCUGACA
ensembl:snoRNA